AGCCGCCUGCGUCGCAGUCGAACGAAGUAACUUAGUGGCGACGGGUGAGUAACAUGUAGUAUCUGCCCUUUGGCCCGGAAUAACACGAGGAAACUUGUGCUAUACUGGAUAAUCUUUACGGAAAAGCUUUAUGCACCAUUGGAUGAGCCUGCACUUGAUUAGUUUGUUGGGGGGUAAGGCCUACCAAGACUGUGAUCAAUAGCUGAUUUGAGAGGUGAUCACCACUUGGGACUGAGACACGGCCCAAACUCCUACGGGAGGCAGCAGGGGGAAUCUUGCACAAUGGAGAAACUCUGAUGCAGCGAUGCCGCGUGAGUGAAAAGGCCUUUGGGUUGUAAAGCUCUUUCGUCGGGAAAAAAUGACUGUACCCGAAUAAAAGGUCCGGCUAACUUCGUGCCAGCAGCCGCGGUAAUACGAAGGGACCUAGCGUAUUCGGAAUUACUGGGCUUAAAGAGUUCGUAGGUGGUUGAAAAAGUUGGUGGGAAAUCCCAGAGCUUAACUCUGGAACUGCCAUCAAAACUUUUCAGCUAGAGUAUGAUAGAGGAAAGCAGAAUUUCUAGUGUAGAGGUGAAAUUCGUAGAUAUUAGAAAGAAUACCAAUUGCGAAGGCAGCUUUCUGGAUCAUUACUGACACUGAGGAACGAAAGCAUGGGUAGCGAAGAGGAUUAGAUACCCUCGUAGUCCAUGCCGUAAACGAUGUGUGUUAGACGUUGGAAAUUUAUUUUCAGUGUCGCAGCGAAAGCAAUAAACACACCGCCUGGGGAGUACGACCGCAAGGUUAAAACUCAAAUGAAUUGAGGGACCCGCACAAGUAGUGGAGUGUGGUUUAAUUCGAAGAUACGCGCAGAACCUUACCAACCUUGACAUGUUCGUCGCGACUUUAAGAGAUUAGAGUUUUCGUUCGGCCGACGACACGCUGCAUGGCUGUCGUCAGCUCGUGUCGUGAGAUGUGGGUUAAGUCCCGCAACGAGCGCAGCCCACUUUUACAUCAUUAGUGGCCUCUAAGACUGCCUGAAAGCUGGAGAUGGGUGACGCCAGUCUCAUCUGGCUACACUAAUUACAACAGGGG
rnacentral:rRNA from 1 species